UACAGGCCCUUCGGGGUGCUGACGAGCGGCGGACGGGUGAGUAAUGCAUAGGAAUCUACCCGGUAGUGGGGGAUAACCUGGGGAAACCCAGGCUAAUACCGCAUACGUCCUACGGGAGAAAGCAGGGGACCUUUUGGCCUUGCGCUAUUGGAUGAGCCUAUGUCGGAUUAGCUGGUUGGUGAGGUAACGGCUCACCAAGGCGACGAUCCGUAGCUGGUCUGAGAGGAUGAUCAGCCACAUCGGGACUGAGACACGGCCCGAACUCCUACGGGAGGCAGCAGUGGGGAAUAUUGGACAAUGGGCGCAAGCCUGAUCCAGCCAUGCCGCGUGUGUGAAGAAGGCUUUCGGGUUGUAAAGCACUUUCAGUGAGGAAGAACGCCUCGUGGCCAAUACCCACGAGGAAAGACAUCACUCACAGAAGAAGCACCGGCUAACUCCGUGCCAGCAGCCGCGGUAAUACGGAGGGUGCAAGCGUUAAUCGGAAUUACUGGGCGUAAAGCGCGCGUAGGCGGCCAAGUAAGCCGGUUGUGAAAGCCCCGGGCUCAACCUGGGAAUGGCAUCCGGAACUGUUUGGCUAGAGUGCAGGAGAGGAAGGUAGAAUUCCCGGUGUAGCGGUGAAAUGCGUAGAGAUCGGGAGGAAUACCAGUGGCGAAGGCGGCCUUCUGGACUGACACUGACGCUGAGGUGCGAAAGCGUGGGUAGCAAACAGGAUUAGAUACCCUGGUAGUCCACGCUGUAAACGAUG
rnacentral:rRNA from 1 species